UACGUAGGGUGCAAGCGUUGUCCGGAAUUAUUGGGCGUAAAGAGCUCGUAGGCGGUUUGUCGCGUCUGCCUGUGAAAACCUCGGGGCUUAACUCCGGGCCUGCAGUGGGUACGGGCAGACUAGAGUGCGGUAGGGGAGACUGGAAUUCCUGGUGUAGCGGUGAAAUGCGCAGAUAUCAGGAGGAACACCAAUUGCGAAGGCAGCUCGCUGGGACGUUACUGACGCUGAGACGCGAAAGCGUGGGGAGCAAACAGG
rnacentral:rRNA from 1 species